GCCCGAGUGGUGGAAUCAGGUAUACACAGCCAGCUUAAAACUGGUGCCAGCGCGGCGUUGCGGGUUCAAAUCCUGCCUCGGGCA
rnacentral:tRNA from 1 species